rnacentral:rRNA from 1 species
CAGCCGCCGCGGUAAUACAGAGGGUGCAAGCGUUAAUCGGAAUUACUGGGCGUAAAGCGCGCGUAGGUGGUUUGUUAAGUUGGAUGUGAAAUCCCCGGGCUCCACCUGGGAACUGCAUCCAAAACUGGCAGGCUAGAGUAGGGCAGAGGGUGGUGGAAUUUCCUGUGUAGCGGUGAAAUGCGUAGAUAUAGGAAGGAACACCAGUGGCGAAGGCGACCACCUGGGCUCAUACUGACACUGAGGUGCGAAAGCGUGGGGAGCAAACAGGAUUAGAUACCCCCGUAGUCCCUGUCUCUUAUAC